UGGGGAAUUUUGGACAAUGGGCGAAAGCCUGAUCCAGCCAUGCCGCGUGAGUGAAGAAGGCCUUCGGGUUGUAAAGCUCUUUCGGUCGGGAAGAAAUAGUUGUGGCUAAUAUCCACAAUGAAUGACGGUACCGACAUAAGAAGCACCGGCUAACUACGUGCCAGCAGCCGCGGUAAUACGUAGGGUGCAAGCGUUAAUCGGAAUUAUUGGGCGUAAAGGGUGCGCAGGCGGUUGUAUAAGUCAGAUGUGAAAUCCCUGGGCUUAACCUAGGAAUUGCGUUUGAAACUAUAUGACUAGAGUGUGACAGAGGGGAGUGGAAUUCCAUGUGUAGCAGUGAAAUGCGUAGAGAUGUGGAAGAACACCGAUGGCGAAGGCAGCUCCCUGGGUUAACACUGACGCUCAUGCACGAAAGCGUGGGGAGCAAACAGG
rnacentral:rRNA from 1 species